GCCGGGAUGGCGAAAUUUGGCAGACGCGCCGGACUCAAAAUCCGGUGGUGGAAACACCGUGAGAGUUCGAGUCUCUCUCCCGGCACCA
rnacentral:tRNA from 1 species